CAGGUGCUGCAUGGCUGUCGUCAGCUCGUGUCGUGAGAUGUUGGGUUAAGUCCCCGCAACGAGCGCAACCCUCAUCCUUAGUUGCCAUCAUUGAGUUGGGCACUCUAAGGAAACUGCCCCGGUUAACGGGGAGGAAGGUGGGGAUGACGUCAAGUCCUCAUGGCCUUUAUGUCCAGGGCUACACACGUGCUACAAUGGGCGGUACAAAGGGUUGCAAUACCGUAAGGUGGAGCUAAUCCCAAAAAGCCGCUCUCAGUUCAGAUUAGAGUCUGCAACUCGACUUUAUGAAGGCGGAAUCGCUAGUAAUCGCGGAUCAGCAUGCCGCGGUCGAAUACGUUCCCGGGCCUU
rnacentral:rRNA from 1 species